rnacentral:rRNA from 1 species
GUGGGGAAUAUUGGACAAUGGGCGAAAGCCUGAUCCAGCCAUGCCGCGUGAGUGAUGAAGGCCUUAGGGUUGUAAAGCUCUUUCAGUAGGGAAGAUAAUGACGGUACCUACAGAAGAAGCCCCGGCUAACUUCGUGCCAGCAGCCGCGGUAAUACGAAGGGGGCUAGCGUUGUUCGGAUUUACUGGGCGUAAAGCGCACGUAGGCGGAUCGUUAAGUCGGGGGUGAAAUCCUGGAGCUCAACUCCAGAACUGCCUUCGAUACUGGCGAUCUUGAGUCCGGAAGAGGUGAGUGGAACUCCUAGUGUAGAGGUGGAAUUCGUAGAUAUUAGGAAGAACACCAGUGGCGAAGGCGGCUCACUGGUCCGGUACUGACGCUGAGGUGCGAAAGCGUGGGGAGCAAACAGGAUUAGAUACCCUAGUAGUCC